rnacentral:rRNA from 1 species
GUGCCAGCAGCCGCGGUAAUACGGGGGGAGCAAGCGUUGUUCGGAAUUACUGGGCGUAAAGGGCGCGUAGGCGGUCAGGUAAGUGAGAUGUGAAAUCCUCCGGCUCACCCGGAGAAAUGCAUCUCAUACUGCUUGACUAGAGUGCGGAAGAGGAAUCGGGAAUUCCAGGUGUAGCGGUGAAAUGCGUAGAUAUCUGGAGGAACACCGGUGGCGAAGGCGCGAUUCUGGUCCGUUACUGACGCUGAGGCGCGAAAGCCAGGGGAGCAAACGGGAUUAGAUACCCCCGUAGUCC